rnacentral:lncRNA from 1 species
GGAACUGUCACUAAUAUAUCUGAAAAUAUGAGGUUAGCGGCAGAUUGCCGAUUAUGGCAACUGUAGAUUAUAUAAAUGUGGUAGCUUAGAGAUAAGAUAAGAACAAUUUAGAUCACCGUAGAAACACGGGUUAUGGAAAACCCUUACAUUGUUCAUCUGUAGUGAAAGGUACUAUUUAUGAAACACAAUGUUUUUCGAUGCAGC